rnacentral:rRNA from 1 species
AUUGAACGCUGGCGGCAUGCCUUACACAUGCAAGUCGAACGGCAGCACGGGUGCUUGCACCUGGUGGCGAGUGGCGAACGGGUGAGUAAUACAUCGGAACAUGUCCUGUAGUGGGGGAUAGCCCGGCGAAAGCCGGAUUAAUACCGCAUACGAUCCACGGAUGAAAGCGGGGGACCUUCGGGCCUCGCGCUAUAGGGUUGGCCGAUGGCUGAUUAGCUAGUUUGUGGGGUAAAGGCCUACCAAGGCGACGAUCAGUAGCUGGUCUGAGAGGACGACCAGCCACACUGGGACUGAGACACGGCCCAGACUCCUACGGGAGGCAGCAGUGGGGAAUUUUGGACAAUGGGCGAAAGCCUGAUCCAGCAAUGCCGCGUGUGUGAAGAAGGCCUUCGGGUUGUAAAGCACUUUUGUCCGGAAAGAAAUCCUUGACUCUAAUACAGUCGGGGGAUGACGGUACCGGAAGAAUAAGCACCGGCUAACUACGUG